rnacentral:rRNA from 1 species
UACGUAGGCAGCAAGCGUUGUUCGGAAUUACUGGGCGUAAAGAGUGUGUAGGCGGUGUUCUAAGUUUGUCGUGAAAUCUCCCGGCUUAACUGGGAGGGUGCGGCGAAAACUGGAAUGCUAGAGGAUGGGAGAGGUAAGCGGAAUUCCUGGUGUAGCGGUGAAAUGCGUAGAUAUCUGGAGGAACACCGGUGGCGAAGGCGGCAUCCUGGACCAAUAUUGACGCUGAGGAGCGAAAGCCAGGGGAGCAAACGGG